rnacentral:rRNA from 1 species
AUUGAACGCUGGCGGCAGGCUUAACACAUGCAAGUCGAGCGAGCGGCGGACGGGUGAGUAAUGUCUGGGAAACUGACUGAGGGAGGGGGAUAACUACUGGAAACGGUAGCUAAUACCGCAUACCAUCAGAUGUGCCCAGAUGGGAUUGGCUAGUAGGUGGGGUAAUGGCUCACCUAGGCGACGGUCCCUAGCUGGUCUGAGAGGAUGACCAGCCACACUGGAACUGAGACACGGUCCAGACUCCUACGGGAGGCAGCAUUGGGGAAUAUUGCACAAUGGGCGCAAGCCUGCUGCAGCCAUGCCGCGUGUGUGAAGAAGGCCUUCGGGUUGUAAAGCACUUUCAGCGAGGAGGCGUUACUCGCAGAAGAAGCACCGGCUAACUCCGUGCCAGCAGCCGCGGUAAUUC